rnacentral:rRNA from 1 species
GCAGCGCGGUAAUACGUAGGUGGCAAGCGUUGUCCGGAAUUAUUGGGCGUAAAGCGCGCGCAGGCGGCUUCUUAAGUCCAUCUUAAAAAGUGCGGGGCUUAACCCCGUGAUGGGAUGGAAACUGAGAGGCUGGAGUAUCGGAGAGGAAAGUGGAAUUCCUAGUGUAGCGGUGAAAUGCGUAGAGAUUAGGAAGAACACCGGUGGCGAAGGCGACUUUCUGGACGACAACUGACGCUGAGGCGCGAAAGCGUGGGGAGCAA